rnacentral:rRNA from 1 species
UACGGAGGGGGCUAGCGUUGUUCGGAAUUACUGGGCGUAAAGCGCACGUAGGCGGCUUUGCAAGUUAGAGGUGAAAGCCCGGGGCUCAACCCCGGAAUUGCCUUUAAAACUGCAUCGCUAGAAUUGUGGAGAGGUAAGUGGAAUUCCGAGUGUAGAGGUGAAAUCGUAGAUAUUCGGAAGAACACCGGUGGCGAAGGCGGCCUGCUGGGACGUGGCUGACGCUGAGGCGCGACAGCGUGGGGAGCAAACAGG